GUGCCAGCAGCCGCGGUAAUACGGAGGAUGCAAGCGUUAUCCGGAAUGAUUGGGCGUAAAGCGUCCGCAGGUGGCUAUGUAAGUCUGCUGUUAAAGAGUGAGGCUCAACCUCAUAAGAGCAGUGGAAACUACAUAGCUAGAGUGCGUUCGGGGCAGAGGGAAUUCCUGGUGUAGCGGUGAAAUGCGUAGAUAUCAGGAAGAACACCGGUGGCGAAAGCGCUCUGCUAGGCCGCAACUGACACUGAGGGACGAAAGCUAGGGGAGCGAAUGGGAUUAGAUACCCGUGUAGUCC
rnacentral:rRNA from 1 species